CGAUUCCCUACGGGGUGCAGCAGGCGCGAAAACUUUACAAUGCGGGAAACCGUGAUAAGGGAACUCCGAGUGUCCGUAAAUGCGGACUGUCCGUAUGUCUAAAAAGCAUGCGAAGAAAGGGCCGGGCAAGACCGGUGCCAGCCGCCGCGGUAAUACCGGCGGCUCGAGUGGUGGCCACUAUUACUGGGCUUAAAGCGUUCGUAGCUGGGUCGUUAAGUCUCUUGGGAAAUCUACCGGCUUAACCGAUAGGCGUCCAAGGGAUACUGGCGAUCUAGGGACCGGGAGAGGUGAGGGGUACUUCAGGGGUAGGAGUGAAAUCCUGUAAUCCUUGGGGGACCACCUGUGGCGAAGGCGCCUCACCAGAACGGCUCCGACAGUGAGGGACGAAAGCUGGGGGAGCAAACCGGAUUAGAUACCCGGGUAGUCCCAGCCGUAAACGAUGCGCGUUAGGUGUAUCGAUGACCACGAGUCAUCGAGGUGCCGAAGGGAAACCGUGAAACGCGCCGCCUGGGAAGUACGGUCGCAAGGCUGAAACUUAAAGGAAUUGGCGGGGGAGCACCACAACAGGUGGAGCCUGCGGUUUAAUCGGACUCAACGCCGGAAAUCUCACCGGAUAAGACAGCUGAAUGAUAGUCGGGCUGAAGACUCUACUUGACUAGCUGAGAGGAA
rnacentral:rRNA from 1 species